rnacentral:lncRNA from 1 species
UCCCUAAAACAGUUAUGAUUCCAACCUUCUCUUCUUUUCCAUUUAGAUGACAUAAUCCUUGAAGACCUGGAGGCAGAGCAGGGGCAGGACAGCUUUGAUACUGACUCCAUGAGCCACAGAACCUGAACACGGAGUUUGCCAUCGCUCUUUACCAACGCUGGGCAGAGCUCCACCACGGAACGACCCUCGCCAUUUCCCCAGUGAGCGUGGCUCUUUCUCUGGGUGCAAGGGAGCACAUUGGCCCAACUGCAGCCUGCUCUGGGACACAGCACUCAUGGUAAGGCAACCUUCUGAGAAACAGCUUUUCAGUGAGCAGCGCAGGCUGUCGUCGGCUUCGCCUGACAGCUUGGACUGUCCUGGUAGGCAGAGCAUAUAAAAACAAAAGCAUGUCAUCCAAGGGGACUUACUUCUGAGUUAACCCCCUUUCAUGCCAUGCUCUUCACUUCAAUGGGCUUUACAUGCGCAUCCUACAGCUUUCAAGUACAUUCUUUCCCCCAAAGAGUUCUGGGCACGGUAGUUCACUCCUCACAGAGUUGCCAGUCCCAGCAACACUCCAGGAACUGCAGUGUCCAGAAUUCUUUAAGGAAAGAAUGUGCCUCAGGGGUUGGACUAGAUGGCCCUUAGGUCCCUUCUAACUCUACAAUUCUAUGAUUCUGUGAAUGCACAUGGAACCAUGUAUUGGUGUGUGCUGAAAGCUAUCCACACCUUGGUUCUGUUGAAAUCAGUUAGUCACAGCUAGCUAAGUCCCAUUGAUUUAUGAAAGUGUGGCUGAUUUACAGCACAAUCCUAUGCAUGUCUACUCAGAAGUAAGCCCUGUUGACUUCAAUGAGGGUUACUCCCAAAUAAGUGGGUACAGGAUUGUGGAUUCAUAUCAACAGAGGAGCAGCUUUUGAUUUAACUGUCUCACCUGCUAUGGACUAUUUAAUGCAAAAAAGUGACAUGUCUACUCAGAACUAUGUCCUUGUGAAUUCCAUGGGGCUUACUCCCAAGUAAAUGGACAGAGAAGUAAUUAAGACCCUUCAGCAUAUAUGUUGAUUUCAGAAUAACAUUAGUCCCUAAGGUCUCUCUGUAACUGUCUGAGGCCUAUUUUGAGGUUUAGAUACAUAAACAUAUCCCGUGUGGCUCUUUGUUUCCCUGUGGGCUAUGCAGACCUCCUCCCUUCCUCACAUGGAGGAAGAUGACCCAGGGCAACAUGAAGGUAAUGUCUUUUUCCAUGUAUAUGUUGUUGUUGUUUAGUUGUUUAGUCGUGUCCGACUCUUCGUGACCCCAUGGACCAGAGCACGCCAGGCACUCCUGUCUUACACUGCCUCCCGCAGUUUGGUCAGACUCAUGUUUGUAGCUUCGAGAACACUGUCCAACUAUCUCGUCCUCUGUCGUCCCCUUCUCCUUGUGCCCUCCAUCUUUCCCAACAUCAGGGUCUUUUCCAGGGAGUCUUCUCUUCUCAGGAGGUGGCCAAAGUAUUGGAGCCUCAGCUUCAGGAUCUGUCCUUCCAGUGAGCACUCAGGGCUGAUUUCCUUCAGAAUGGAGAGGUUUGAUCUUCUUGCAGUCCAUUGGACUCUCAAGAGUCUCCUCCAGCACCAUAAUUCAAAAGCAUCAAUUCUUCAGUGAUCAGCCUUCUUUAUGGUCCAGCUCUCACUUCCAUAUAUCACUACUGGGGAAACCAUAGCUUUAACUAUACGGACCUUUGUCAGCAAGGUGAUGUCUCUGCUUUUUAAGAUGCUGUCUAGGUUUGUGCUUGCUUUUCUCCCAAGAAACAGAUGUCUUUUAAUUUCGUGGCUGCUGCCACCAUCUGCAGUGAUCAUGGAGCCCAAGAAAGUAAAAUCUCUCACUGCCUCCAUUUCUUCCCCUUCUAUUUGCCAGGAGGUGAUGGGCCCAGUGGCCAUGAUCUUCGUUUUUUUGAUGUUGAGCUUCAGACCAUAUUUUGCGCUCUCCUCUUUCACCCUCAAUAAAAGGUUCUUUAAUUCCUCCUCACUUUCUGCCAUCAAGGCUCCAUGUAUAUAUUCAGUGUAUAUAAGAAAGUCUCUCCAAGUGCCAGCCUUUUCCUUUCAGAAGAUCUAAUUAUAGAAGACAUUGAGGAAGAGCAAGAAGAGACUGUGCGGCACUGAAGCAGCUCCUAGAGGGGAUGAUCAGCAAGACCAGGACCAAGUCUCAGAUGUGUGCAAUUCACCACUCUUUAAAUACAUGGACAAGGGUUAUGCAAACUUGGCCACUCAUUGGCUGUCCCAGGAGAAGGCAUGAAGAAGAAAGGCCCAGUUACUCCACAGGGCGAAGCAGGUGGAGGAGCUUCCUGUGGCAUUGAGGAAGAUGAUGACUAUGCAAGUGGGCUGUUGUAACUCCAGCACAACUCGACUCUUAAAAAGCAACCUAGCUGUUUCUGGCCAAUGAGCAAUUCUGGAAGCUCCCUAAUAAUUGCCACCAGUUCACUGCAAUCAGGAAAUUGGAAACAGAACAAUUUGUCUGCAUCUGGGAAACUUGUAGAGAAAGCAUGGCUGGAAAAAUCUUUUUUAAUAAUUCCAGUGGCACCUUUAAGAUCAACUAAAUAUAAGCUUUCAAGGUAUGAGCUUUCGUGUGUAAUACACACUUCAUCAGAUACUCUGAAGCAGAGGUCGGUUCAACCUUAUAACUGUUGAUGACUGUUAUGGCAGUUGGUUCCACAGGGAAGGGCAAGGGAUUUUUAAAGGGAUAGACGACCAAAAUUAGCUUUAGUAUGUAUAAUGGGACAUGAAUCCAAUAUCUCUAUUCAGACCUGGUCUCUCCAUAGUUUUAGUUUGGUAAUGAGUUGUAAUUCAGCAACUUCUCUUUCAAGUGUAUUUCUAAAAUUCUUUUGCAAUAAGACAGCUACUUUAAGAUCUUGUAUAGAAUGUCCUCGGAGACUGAGGUGUUCUCCUAUUGGUUUCUCUGUUUUAUGAUUCCUGAUGUCAGAUUUAUGCCCAUUUAUCCAAAAGUUUGUCCUGUUUGUCCAAUAUAGAGAGCUGAAGGGCGCUGUUGGCAUUUGAUAACUUAUAUAAUGUUGGAAGAUGAACAAUUAAAUAGGCCUGAGGUGGUAUGUUUGAUGUUAUUGGGGCCAAUAAUGAUGCUGUCCGGGUGUCUGUGGCAGCAAAGUUGUCAUCUAGAUUUAUUGCAGGCUCUUGUGGCAGUGUUCAUGUUCAGUGGCGUAGGAAGAGGGGGCGGGGGGAGCGGAGUGCCCUGGGUGCCAUCUCUGAAGGGGUGACGAGGGCACCCCGUGGGGAUGCCAUUGUGCCCAUGCCCGCAGCCGUG